rnacentral:rRNA from 1 species
ACACGACUACAUUAGAUACCCCUGUAGUCCUAGCCGUAAACGAUACUCGCUAGGUGUCGGCCACGGUGCGACCGUUGUCGGUGCCGUAGGGAAGCCGUGAAGCGAGCCACCUGGGAAGUACGGCCGCAAGGCUGAAAACUUAAAGGAAUUGGCGGGGGAGCACCACAACGGGUGGAGCUUGCGGUUUAAUUGGAUUCAACGCCGGAAAUCUUACCGGGACCGACAGCAACAUGAAGGCCAGGCUGAAGACUUUGCCGGAUUAGCUG